rnacentral:tRNA from 1 species
UCCCUGGUGGUCCAGUGGCUAAGACUCUACAUUCCCAGUGUAGAGGCCCCAGGUUCAAUCCCUGGUCAGGGAA